rnacentral:rRNA from 1 species
AGUGAACGCUGGCGGUAGGCCUAACACAUGCCAGUCGAACGGCAGCACAGUAAGAGCUUGCUCUUACGGGUGGCGAGUGGCGGACGGGUGAGGAAUACAUCGGAAUCUACUUUUUCGUGGGGGAUAACGUAGGGAAACUUACGCUAAUACCGCAUACGACCUACGGGUGAAAGCAGGGGAUCUUCGGACCUUGCGCGAUUGAAUGAGCCGAUGUCGGAUUAGCUAGUUGGCGGGGUAAAGGCCCACCAAGGCGACGAUCCGUAGCUGGUCUGAGAGGAUGAUCAGCAACACUGGAACUGAGACACGGUCCAGACUCCUACGGGAGGCAGCAGUGGGGAAUAUUGGACAAUGGGCGCAAGCCUGAUCCAGCCAUACAGCGUGGGUGAAGAAGGCCUUCGGGUUGUAAAGCCCUUUUGUUGGGAAAGAAAAGCAGCAGGUUAAUACCCCGCUGUUUUGACGGUACCCAAAGAAUAAGCACCGGCUAACUUCGUG